AAUGAUGAAGAAAAUAUAGAAUUCAAGGAUGAAAUAAUAGAUGUCUAUGCAGAAAAUGAAAUACCAAAGUAAAUUUAAGUGUAAUGUUUUUUUGUUCGCAAUAUUGGAGUUCAUUAGCACGAAGCUAUUUAUGUUUCCAGACAAUCAAAAGUAGACCAGUUAAAUAUAUCCAAUGCAGAAGGUGAAUUCAAUAUAACGAUUGAAGAACAUUUAGAGAGCAAUGAAUAUGUUCAUGAAGAAAGACAAUCACAAGUAGACCAGUUAAAUAUAUCCAACGCAGAAGGUGAAUUCAAUAUUAAGAUUGAAGAACAUUUGGAGAACAAUGAAUAUGUUCAUGAAGAAAGACAAACCAGUGGUAUACCAGUGAUACCAUUUUACAAAACUCUGGCAAACUUGGAUUUAGAAGCCUUAAAUCUACAUUAUUCACCAAAAAGUUUUGCAAACAUGAAAGAUAUGUUAAGGCGUGCAAAGGACGAAAUUAUAACUCUUCGUAGAAAAAACAAAUGCAUGCAGGUUAAAUUAUGUCGGUGGAAAAAACAAAUAACAAGUCUCAAAACUUUGGCAAAAGAGAAUUCGCGAACGAAACCUGGAACAAUCGGUAAAGAAAAGGAAGCGGCCAGCAUGCCGGUGUACAUUAAUAUGAAUAAUAAUAAUGCUAAAAUAAAAACGAUGAUUUAACUUU